UGAUGGACCACUUCAAAUCGGUGUUUAAGACUCGUGGGAAUCAACUAGAGACAACUAAAAAGUAAGCAUUUCUUGCUCUAACUUGCCUUUAUAAAUUUUAUAUUAUGUAAUUUAUGUUUGCAUUAUGGCAUAUAUAAUUGUUAAAAAUGUAGUCACAGAGUGUACUUUGCCACAACAUGUUCUCUCUAUGUGUUAUGGAUCAAGUGGGGACAUGUGCAUAAAUGUAUAUAACUGGCUUUCCAGCAGAUUCACUUCAGAGGCUGCCAAAACCACUCGUUUGUCUUCAGAGGCCACCAAAACUGCUCGCUUGUCUUCAGAAGUUGCCAAAACCACUCGUUUGUCUUCAGAGGCCACCAAAACUGCUCGCUUGUCUUCAGAAGUUGACCAAAACCACUCGUUUGUCUUCAGAGGCCACCAAAACUGCUCGCUUGUCUUCAGAAGUUGCCAAAACCACUCGUUUGUCUUCAGGGGCGUGUUAAAACGGUCCGUGUGUCUGCACAGACUGCAAAAGCUGCCCGUUCAGCAGCGGCGGUCAGUGGUGUAAUCUCAGCUCUGUUCGUUGUUCUUGAUGUUGUUUGUAUUGUUCAAAAUUCAAUUGAGCUCUCUGAAAUGAAUCAAUCAGCAGACAAAAGAAAUGGCAAAAAUAUCAGAUCAAACAUUUUGAAAUUCCUUCAUCAGAUGAGACAAACAGCUGCUCAUUUUCAGAAGACUCUAGAUGAAAUUAAAGAGGCUAGAGACAAUGCUAUCGAAGAGUUUAAUAAAGAGUUGAAAAACGGCACUUCUUUCCUGAUUAGGCAAAAGCGCAGAGAGAGACGUAAUAGGCUUAUUUCAGUGAGCAUUAUUUUGAUCAGCAUUUUCUUUUUUUCUUUUUUAUUCUAUAGUUCUUUGGAGUUCUUCACAAAUAAACUGCUUGAUCUGAGAGGGUGCGGUGUGCUGACAGAGUCCAAGACGAUAAAGAGCCGUGAAUUGGACUUGGCCCUGUUUACACUUGCUAUUACAGUAAGAUGCAUUCAAACCAUAAGUAGACAGCACUAAAUACAGGUGUAAACGGGGCCUCAAAUGUUUUGAUCUUUCCACUUUCAACUUCUUCCAGAGGUAGCUGAAAACACAUUUGACCAGACUGCUGUCAUGGUGUGGACACUCAUGUGGUCAAAUGCAUUCAAGCAGCUGCUAAAGAUGCCUACUGACCUAAAGUGAUGUAACGAUUGGACAGAGCAGACACACAAUUAUUUGUUACAUUUCACAAAUAAUCUUUAAAACCAACAAGCCAGCUAUGUGUUGGAGUUCUGGGGACGACCCCCGAAAGCAACUAACACCCCAGAAGGCUCAGUUGCCAGGGCUACCAUCUGACAAACACACUGGUUUUAUUGCUCAAAGGAAUGCAGGCAGAGCAACACUCACUUCAUUCACUCAUAGGAAAGACACACAAUGCCAUAGAAAUGGACUCUUCCCUAUUCAUUCACAGACAAACCUUUCUAUGAACACACAUAUCCUUCAGCUCAUUGUGUAUAUUUACUGUUCUUGUACAAAGGGCAGCAGGCAUGAGAUCCCAGAGGAGCUGAGGAUGAUGCAUCAAUGCUGUAGAGCCGGGGGGGAAAUUAUGAAAAAGUAAGAAACAGUAUAGGCCGUAUUUUUCAUCUAUCAUCAUUGGGAACAUGAGAUCUCUGGCCAAAAAAAAAAAAAAAAAGAAAAGAAAUUGGAUGAGGAUGAGGGUCUAUAGUCCCUUCCCCAGAAAUGCAUCUAACACCUCAGAAAGGCAGAACAGGCCUCUGGUUCCAUGGCAACCUGGUUUUAUUGCCCAAAGAAAUGCGGGCAGAGCAAUUCUCAUUUCAUACCCAUAGGAAAGACACACAAUGCCAUAUAAAUGGACUCUCAUUCACAGACAAACCUGUCUUUGACCUUCCUAUCACAUAUCCUUAGGUCAUUGUGUGAACCAAAAGAAAGAAACAAAUAAAAAUAAAAUAAAAUAAAAAUAUUGUAUACUAUUUUAUGCAUGCUUAUGAUAGAACCACUCGUUCAUGUAACCUUACCUUUAGUCAAGUCAUCUUUAUUUAUAUAGCGCUUUUAACAAUACAGGUUGUGUCAAAGCAACUGUACAGCAUUAAUUAGGAAAAUAGUGUGUCAAAUAAUGCAAAAUAACAAUAGUGAACACUCAUUUUCUAGUUAUAGGCACACUGUAAAACCCGACAAGAUCUGAUUAAACAACCCCACAAACAGCAUCACCAGCUCCACUUAUUAAUAACCAGACUGACUUUAUUUCUGUCAGAAGUCAAGGGUCAAGAGCCCAACUAAAGCAAACACUGAUCUCUAAUAUGGUUACUUCAAAUGAAACAAUAAAUCAACAUCUAAACCUUAGUUAAUUCUCAAUCAGAUCUUCUGUAGACGUCUGACAGAAAUAAAGUCAGUCUGGUUAUUAAUAAGUGGAGCUGGUGAUGCUGUUUGUGGGGUUGUUUAAUCAGAUCUUGAGAGAUUUAAUGUAUUUUAUUUCAGUUUAUUUUAUCUAAGGCUGUGUCUGAAGUCAGUUGUAGUUCCUUUCUCUCUUUUCUUCAGUAAUUCUGUUUGUUAACAGCAGGUGUUCAUCACUAAUGCUCAAUUAUCACUCAAUUAAUCACUUAAUUACUUAAUUGCAAUGUAUAUCUUCUUUCAGUGAACUCAACUGAAUUAAGUUCAGAGUACUCAUAACUGUUAAGUUUUAAAACUUAAAUGGUUUAAGGCAAUCGGUUUCCUCAAACGGUUUGAGUAAACCCAACUUGUCAUGUUUUUAAGGAUAUUUGUUUAAACAAAAGGUUUGAGUUACGUUACUUGUCGGGUUUUACAGUGUAGAAAAUAAAGAUAACAAACCAGGAGUGCUGUCUGCAGCCUUUGUCUGCACUGAUCUUAAUUUACAAACGCGUAAUUAAAAUGAAC
rnacentral:lncRNA from 1 species